CCCUUCGGGGUGGAUUAGUGGCGAACGGGUGAGUAACACGUGGGCAAUCUGCCCUUCACUCUGGGACAAGCCCUGGAAACGGGGUCUAAUACCGGAUAACACUCUGUCCCUCAUGGGACGGGGUUAAAAGCUCCGGCGGUGAAGGAUGAGCCCGCGGCCUAUCAGCUUGUUGGUGGGGUAAUGGCCUACCAAGGCGACGACGGGUAGCCGGCCUGAGAGGGCGACCGGCCACACUGGGACUGAGACACGGCCCAGACUCCUACGGGAGGCAGCAGUGGGGAAUAUUGCACAAUGGGCGAAAGCCUGAUGCAGCGACGCCGCGUGAGGGAUGACGGCCUUCGGGUUGUAAACCUCUUUCAGCAGGGAAGAAGCGAAAGUGACGGUACCUGCAGAAGAAGCGCCGGCUAACUACGUGCCAGCAGCCGCGGUAAUACGUAGGGCGCAAGCGUUGUCCGGAAUUAUUGGGCGUAAAGAGCUCGUAGGCGGCUUGUCACGUCGGAUGUGAAAGCUCGGGGCUUAACCCCGAGUCUGCAUUCGAUACGGGCUAGCUAGAGUGUGGUA
rnacentral:rRNA from 1 species